GGUACCCGGAAGAGCCCCUCACCAUCAACCUCCGCAAGUGCCUCUUAUGAUGAGGCGGCUGCGCGGCCAGCAGCAGCAAUUCCAGCCAAGCUGCCACCACCAAUGCCCUCUUUCUUCUGUCUUCAGCUUGUACCUGAUCAUGUGAAAGGCUGUGGGUCAGACUUCUCUUCCAGCACACGCAUGACAGGGGUGUAUGUGGGACCCCACUACCAGCC
rnacentral:lncRNA from 1 species